rnacentral:rRNA from 1 species
GAUGAACGCUAGCGGCAGGCUUAAUACAUGCAAGUCGUGGGGCAGCAUGGGGUAGCAAUACUCUGAUGGCGACCGGCAAACGGGUGCGGAACACGUACGCAACCUUCCCAAAACUGGUGAAUAGCCCUCCGAAAGGAGGAUUAAUACACCGUAACAUGACGAAGUGGCAUCACUUUGUUAUUAUAGCUCCGGCGGUUUUGGAUGGGCGUGCGCCUGAUUAGGUAGUUGGCGGGGUAACGGCCCACCAAGCCUACGAUCAGUAACUGGUGUGAGAGCACGACCAGUCACACGGGCACUGAGACACGGGCCCGACUCCUACGGGAGGCAGCAGUAAGGAAUAUUGGUCAAUGGACGCAAGUCUGAACCAGCCAUGCCGCGUGAAGGAUGAAGGUCCUCUGGAUUGUAAACUUCUUUUAUCUGGGACGAAAAAAGGGCUUUCUAGCUCACUUGACGGUACCAGAGGAAUAAGCACCGGCUAACUCCGUGCCAGCAGCCGCGGUAAAGU